ensembl:lncRNA
CACUGGCUGAAGAGAGGCCUUACCCCCUGUGACUCUCCCACUGAUAAUUCCCUCCACCAUUAAGUGAAACUAAAACGGAACUUGUCAGCAGUCACUGAUGGACCAGGGGAUGUAAAAGUGAUCGGCUUAGUGGAUGAGAAAGCUGUUUGCAAGAGGAGGACUAACAGAUGAACCUUCAGAGAGAAGCAAGUGGCAUGCACAUGGGAAAGAAGCCAAAAUGGGGUGAGGAUUUGUCUCCCUUCUGAAAGGCUUUCCAGUUUGGGAAGGCCCCACACGGCACAGAUUCGCCAUAUGAUCCACCGGCAAGGGAGGACUCCAAUGGAAGGCGUCCGAUAAGAUAAGUCUUAUAAAAUAUAUAGAUUUAUGAUAAUUAAGACUGAGCUAACAGAUGAGAAUCCUAGUCAUUGGCCAAGCAGCAUUUGUACCUAAUAUAAGUCUCUGUGCAUUAAUUGGGGCCCUAACUCGGCAGGCAAAACUCAGGCGGCUGGCAGAGAUGGCCCAUGUGGCAGUAGGGCUCGGGCGGCUUUUGGCAGAAAGAUUUAUCGUAACACUAAUACUUGCAAACAAGCAUGGCUGUCUCCUGGGAGUGAGCUGUUUACAGGGACCACUGCAGAAGCUUCACUCAGGUGUCUUCAUAACAAUGCUGGACCUUAAAGGGUCCUUCCCAGAGCGGGGAGGAAUCUGACUUUAUUCAAAUCUUUAACUGAUUCUUAAAAAAGAAAAAGAAAGAAAGAGAGAGAGAGAGAGAGAGAGAGAGAGAGAGAGAGAGAGAGAGAGAGAACCAAAACAAAUAGAUAAAUCUUCACACCAGCGUUUCCACCAUAAAUUGGCUUGUAUCCAUAAAACAAAACUUAGAAAAGUAUGGCAAAGUUGGGGGAAAUUCUCCAACUGUGCAUCAACAAGAUCUUAUUAAUUUGCUCUUUGGUGUUUAUUCUGUUUUAUCACUGAGGUUUUACCUGAUACACAAAGACAAGAAAGCUGUACAUGUUAAUAGGGUAUUAUGUGAUGUUUGACCCGAGUACACUGAACAAUGUUUAAAUCAGGUCAAACGGAGUUAUAACCCCAAACAUUUUUCACUUCUUUGUGAUGAAAACUCAGAACCUUUCUUUUCUGCUGGCAUUUUGAAAUGCACAGCAACUGCUUGUUGUCUUGUCCACUGGGCAAGGACUCCUGCCCCUGUGUAUUGUAGCACUAUUCAUCAGCCUGAGUCCGGGGUCCACUCCUUUGCCUUUUUUAAAUGUUUUCAUUAGCAUAUCUUACUUACACAUAGCAAUAGGCUUUAUUGUGGUGCUUUCAUGUAUAUACACAAUGUAUUUGGAGCAGAUUCACGAUCCUCCCUCUGUUCAGCCGUUCUUGACACCCUCCCACUAAUGCCCCUUUUCAUUCCAAACAGCUCCCUUGUACUUUCACGUCUUUUAUUUUUCUUUCUUUGUGACCCAUUAGAUUGAGUGUUUCUUUGUUUGUUUAUUUGUUGAGACAGGGUUUCUCUGUGUAGCUCCGUAGACCAGCCUGGCUUCAAACUCACAGAGAUCUGCCUGCCUCUACCUCCUGGGAUUAGAGGCGUGUGCUACGACUGCCUGGCUUUGAUUGGUUGCUUUUAUAGAAGCAGAGGUGAGUGUCUGUUUAAGGAUAAUGGAAACCUGACCAGAGACUAUACCACUGAAGAAAACAUAUCUCUCUCUCUCUCCCAUAAUUUUUUGCUUAUAAUUUAAAAAAAUUGAAAUUAUAAUAUUUCAUUUCUUCCCUUCCUUUUUUUUCUGUCUAACCCCUCUAUAGCCCCUCCCCUUGCCCUUUCUCAAGCUUAUGGUCUCCUUUUCUUUAAUUGUUGAUAAAUACGAAUAUGUGUGUAUAUGUAUACACAUAUAUUCCAAAAUACGCAAAUACAACCUUCUCAAUCCAUAUUUUACCUUUAUGAAUAUGAUCUCAGGACUGACCACUGAUAUUGGAUAACCAAUGGGCCAGCACUUCUCUGUGGAAGACCAUUUUCUUAGCAUUCCCAACUUCACCAUAGGUCUUCCUAUGGUGGGGGCCCCACGAAUCUUCCCUCUUCCGUGUUAGCAUGUCCACUGGUGUUGUCAUUGUUCAGAUCUUGUUUGCCAUCGAAUAUUCACUGUGUUUAAAUCCUCAGUGCAGUAAAGGACCCAGGAGCCCCUUGCCAAUUUCAUGACACAAUACUGAUGGCCUAGUCUUGUACAGAGUGUGAGAAUAUGUCUUCACAGCUGCUGUGAGUUUAAUGAUGCAAAAGGUGUGUCAUUGCCAGAAUCCACUGUCUCUCCUCCCGCGCUUCCUCCAGCUCUUACAUUCUUGCCGCCCUUUCUUCUGUGAUGUUCUUUGAGCCUUGGAAGGGGUCAUAUAGAUGUCCUACUUAUGGCUGAGCAUUAAAAAUUCAUUUAUUCUCAAUACAUAGACCAAGGAUGGCUUGGUGGCACUAUUUUAUGAGUAUAAAUAUAGCUACUUAGGAGCACUUGACAGGUACACCACCUCCAUUUAGCAAAACAGCAGUAGCUUCCCCUAGGGCCUUGACAUCUCUAAGCAUAGACUUUUGACCAGGUUAAUAGGAGCAGACAUGAAUUCCGUCCUAUGGAGCAGCCAUUGCAUCCAAUCAGAAAGUGGUUAGUCACCCCCAUAACAAACUUGCUGCUACCGCACCAGCAGGCACAUUUUGCCCCCCGUUGGCAUUGCUGGACACAGUGCCCACAGCUGAGGAAGACUAUGGAUGACAGUUUUCCUCCACCAGCCUACAUAUUACCUUCCAGCAGUGUGAGGGUUAGCUAGCAGGAAGAAAGCUUCCAAUCUAUUUCCAGCUUGACUUCUCUGUGUCCUGUGUCUAAGGCAUUUGCCAUCUUUCAACAGGAUCUUACUUGUGGGCAAUCAACCGAAGUGGUGAUCACCUGUUGUGUUGGGGGGCCAUGGGGGAUCUCCCUGACCAACAAAUCUAAUGAAGGCAGUCCACCCCUAACAUUGGGAUUUUCCUUUAGUAACUUAUGGCUUGGGGGGUAUAGCCAUCCAUAUAAGGUGGUUCCAUGCAAGCAUUUUUAUUGUGGCUUUAAUUAGCUUCUCAAAUAUUAGAUUUCUUGGUAGAUUUACUUUGAACAUAGUCUGAUAGUAAGAAACUGAAGGGUAUAACUACUUUGCAUGUAAGAUAAAGAGCCAAUCUACAGAAAUUUCUGGUUUACUUAUUCCAACUACAGUGUGCCACUUGUUAAUGACUUCUCUCAGAUUUCUUUGCUAGGAGAAACCAUUUGGCCUCAAUUACAGAAUUUCUGGAGCAUGUGUUUUGAGGGAAGAGGGGAAAAAACAAUGCUUCUCAGACUUCGAUGCACAUGGGAUCCAUCUCACAAGCUUGUUAAAAUGCACAGUUGGAAUUUUAACAAGCUCCAAGAUUACUCAGAAGCUGCCAGGCCAUGGGCAUGCAUUAGUGGCAAGAUCCUUACAUGACCAAAAACAUGGAAAAAUUAAUGGAAGAAAAUUUUUGCCUUCCUGUAUCUACCUACCAUUAAACCCAUCAGCCACAACCCAUUUCUGGGAAAACUUGGGACUAUUUCUCAUCCCUGGAAGGCUUCCCAGUCUCAGGGUGGAGGAGAACUUAUUUACUGCAGUACAAGUGAAAGUAUUGAGCAACUCCACUGCUCCUCUGCAAGUUCCUUCUCUGCAUUGGAACCAUUCCAAAGAUUAUAACGCAUCUGUUUAUCUGGUUUUCCUUGGUAAUAAUGCAAUCAUAUCAGGGGCAUGACUUCCUAGAAUAAAGACUUCAAUUUCCAGCUUCACUAAAAGAUGGAUAUGCCCAUGUUACCAAGUUCUGGUCAAUAAUAAAAUAGUACUGAAACAGAAAUAUGCACACGAGCCAUGGUUUGCAGAUGAGAAGUAAAGUUAACUUACCCCUCUAGGCAUAGCACCAACAUGCCAGUGAAAAAGCUCAUGUCCUAGAAGUGGUGACUCUGUUCCUGUCAUUAUUUCUGGAUCAACACUGUACACUGAAUAUUCCCAAUUUCAGAAAUAAUCUUUUCUUCUAAGGGUAAAUAAAAUUCCUAGCUACUGUGCUUGGCAUGAUGGUGCAUGCCUUUAAUCCUCAUCCUCACACUGGGAAGUAGAGGCAGGUGGAUAUCUGUCCAAUUUGGUCCAUAUAACAAAUUCUGGGCUAACCUGGGCUGCAUAGUGAGACCCUGUCCCAAAACAAAAACUAUAUUACUAAUUACCACAAAACACCACAGGAGAAGUAUUGCUCAGCCCUGGGCUGCAUCUGGAAAUUGAGAAGGUAAAGCAAGCCCCACACUGACAGGUAACUUGGCCCUAAUAACGGCAGUGGCUCGCCGCGGCUACACUGUGCAAGCUACACUGUUUGUGCUGAACUUCUGCUUUGUUUCUGGGAGUCUGGAAUUUCAGCACAUGCCAGGCAGAGGGUUUCUAUCUGACCACUUCCUGAUUAGAACCCUCGGGCAGUAAGUCUUUGAAUUGCCCCUUUGAGAAUAUUUUGCAUGUGUUUUCCUAGCACCUUGGUGAAGGGGCCCAGGAGGCACUCCACUGUGGCAGGACACUUGGAAGCCUAGACCCAGUCUCUUGCUGCCUCCAUCCAUGCACCUAUUUCUUUCCCUGGUUUGGCUUUGCAUUUUUUUCCUGGCCACAAAUGUCAACCUCAGUUCAGUUACAUGCUGAGUACUAUAAACUCUUCCAUCCAAAGAACUGGCGAGAUCUGCCGUCUUAAGAAUUGUGUGAGAGAGAUUGCUUUUCUAGAUUCAUAAAGGAAGUGCCCUAGCUUUCUGUACUGCUUUCUCUUCUUUCCUGGGGCAUAUCCACCCCAACCUUCCUUACUCAUUCCCUGCCAAAGUCCAAGCCCGAGUAUGGACAUGGACAAAGCUGUCAGGAGUGACACCUUCAGUUUCUCAGUCCCAGAGAAGCUGCAAAGCUUCUGUGCUGCAAAUAAACACAGCACUGCUUUGUCUGCAUUUUACUUUUAAUCCAGCUGUGUUUCCCCUACAAACACAAGGUGUGAGUGAGGCUCUUAGUGGUAUCUUAUUGAACUAAAUGCAUCACUGAAAUGUCCCUAUAAAUUAUUUACCAGAAGACUUAUCUGGUGAGGAAACGCGUUUAUCUUGUGAGUACAUGGAGGCCUUUUAAAAUAUAUGGCCAGGCACUAAACCUCAAUGCCACAUCAACAGUAAUUUAUCAACAUCACAUGAAACUGUGCAGGAUAUCCUACCUCCCGUGAAGCAUGGCCUGCUUUGUAGAAUAUCCUCCUCCCACUGAGUAAUGUGUGUGACGUACCUUCAGGUGACCUUCUUGAUAAACUGUGUAAUUAUGUUUUCACAGCAUUAACUAUUAUUUCUUUAACCUUGGAGAGUAAGAAGUGUGGGCACAGUGUUUGGCACAGGCAAUGAGUUUGGGCACGCUGGUGAACAAGGUCUUAGGUUUGCCUUAAAAUCAAGGGGCCACUGUAUACUUCACAAUCUCUCAAGCCAGCAAAGCUGCUGUGAACCUGUGCUGGAACUCAACGAACCACUGAUGUCCUAGAUGCAGGACUGGUCAAGUUCUACCCUGGUCUACCUGAUAAGGAUGUGCUCUUCAGAAGCCAGUCCAUCCCUGGGGAGCCUCUGCCACACCGGCUGGGAAAUGAAGCAUUUAGUGCACCACUUCCUCUGUCGCAUACAAUCUGUGAUUCAGUGCUAAUCUAAAGUAUGUGGCGAGUGCCAAAUGAGAGCGUACAAAUGCAUUUUGUUGGUGGGAGAAGUGUCUCGUGGGUAAAACAGGAAAAUGAGUUGGCUGUAAAAGAAAAGCACAUUCUCUAGUGGAAAGGGAACUUGAGAAUAUAGAUUUUAUCCACUAUGAGAGGUCCUCAGGAAGUGUCAGUAUGAAACAACAGCGAUUUUAAUAAUGGCCCCUCCUUAGUGAGCACUAGCUAAAGAAUAUUUUCUCAGUUGAUUCCCACAGACAUCUUAGGCAUUAUUCCCAUUUUAUACAGGGAAAAUUGGAGACAUAGAAAGACACAGAAUUUGUCUGAUCAGGAACCUGGAAGGCAAUCUGAUGCUUCAGGGACUGCCUUCUAGCCACUUUUAUUGCAAUUGUAUCUGAAGGCAGCAUAGAGUUCUUCCCCAGAAAGCACUCUAGUGUAGAUGAACCUGGCCAGAAAUGGUUUGAGGAGAAAAAGAUGGGCCAUCAACAAGAAUAAUGCCGUCUUCGCACUCCGAGUGUCAAGUAUGUGCUUUCAUGUGUGCAUCCUAGCCUUCUCCUCUGAUGUUCUGUCACAUUGCCUUUAUGGAGAUAAGAAAUUUAGGUUCAACACAUCCAACUUUUACAAGGUGAAAAUUAGUAGGAGGCAAAGCUGGGAUUUAACUUUGUCUAAAUCAAGGACCUGUUCUCCUGUGCUAUGUUGCAUUCUUGGCAAGCAAAAGAAGAAAAAAAUAAAAUAAGAUAGAAAGGAAGGAAGGAAGGAAGGAAGGAAGGAAGGAAGGAAGGAAGGAAGGAAGGAAAGGAGCAAGGAAGGAAGGGGAAGGGAGGAGGGAGGGAGGAAGAAAGAAGGCAAGAAGUGAUAAGCAGGUACUAAAAACAGCUCUGUCUCACUUCUUAGCUUGGUUUAUUUGAAAUCUAGAGUAGGAGAAAUGAAUUGAUAGUGACAGAAAGUGGAUCAGAGAGAAAUGGGAUUGCCUGAACAGGAAGGACACUAGGCACCAGGGAACUGUUUGGAAUGACAGAAAGAUUUUAGUUGGUUGUUUAGUUAGUUAGUUAGCUAGUUAUCUAGUUAGUUAGCUGUUUAUUUGUUUGUUUUUCCUUCUGAGACCUAGCUGGCCUUGAACUCUUGACCCCUUAGCAUUUUUUUUUUAUCUUGUAUGGCAGUGAUUAUAUAUGCAACAUUUGUCAAAAACCACUUGUACUGUACACUGAAAACUGGUACAUUUUAUUAUGUGAAAACUAUGCCUUGACUAAGAUGAUUUUUUAAAAGCCAAAAUGAACCCAGUUUUCAGUGUGAAAGCUACUAUAACCUUGCAUGCACAUAGAAUCAGCAUGGGAGGUGGGAAAUGCUAGAUCUUAGCAUCUAUCCAGUCACAUUUUGUGGUAUCUUUUCCUUAUGAAGAAAUUUAAAAGCUCAAAGUUAUUGUGCUGGCUAAUUUUGUGCCAGCUUGACACAAGCUAGAGUCCUUUGAGUAGAACAAAACUCAAUAAUGAAAAUGUCCCCAACAGGCCAACAGGUUGAUCCACAGAAAAGACUGAAGAAUUUUUCUUGAUUAGUAGUUGAUUUGGGAAGGUACAGCUCGAUAUAGGCAUUGCCAAUCUUUGUUAUUUGGUUUUUGUCCCAAGUUGCAUGAGGAAACAAACUGAACAAGCCAGGAAGAGCAAAUCAGUAAGCAUCACUCCUCCAUGGCUUCAGCUCCAGUCCUACCUCCAACUUCCUGUCUUUAGUUCCUGCUCUGGUUUGUCUCACUGGUGGUAUAUGACCUGAGACUUGUAAGCUGGAAUGCAUCCUUUGCUCCUUGAGUUGUUUGUGGUCAUGGUGUUUCAGCAUAACAAUAGGAAUCCUAACUAUGGCCCUUAGAUUUCUCAGACUCCUCCCCAGCUAAUGUUCUGAUUGUGAGUCAGAUACUGACUGGGAAGGCAGAAGAGAGACCAGGGCCUACUGGGAUGCUUGCCACUGCUGACAGGUAGGACCAGCUAGGUGCUGGGUUUCCCUGCAAGAGCAUUUCAGCAUAUUCUGCCCAGCAUUGUACGGGAUUAUGGCUGGUGUCUCCAAAGAUGACAGUGGCUUUCCCAUUCUCAAACUGCAACUGUGGGCUCCAACAUUUCUACUGCAGGCUUCUUAUUGCAUAUAUUUGACUGGAGCUGUCUCUUUAGAGUCAAUCUGGGGCAAACCAGUUUGAAGGUUGUCUCCUAGGAGUGAGUAUUGCUGAAGGCUUGAUUUAGGGACUGGCCUUCUAGAUUUUCCAUGAAUCUAUUUGAAAAUCUUUUCCUACUUUAAUUCCUGAAAUGAUUUGUUUCUCUGGAGCCAAACACUACAGUAUACCUGUAUCUGAAUGUUGAGAAUUUAGAAGUAAAAGAAAGGAUUACAGAGUAAUGGGUUUUCGGUACUCACACCUCACCCCAUAAUAGGUUUCCCCACUAACUCAGUAAGCCAGAUCAAGCUGAACUGAAAAAGUAUAAGAACAGGAUUCCUUGAGCAAAACAACUCCCAGGCAACUUCUACAGUCCCAGAGAUGGAGGCUGAAGAAGCCAGCAUCUACCCCUAACUAAAUCAGGGAGUCUUUAUAUGUUGUAGGUAAGGAGUGAUGGGGUGAUAAUGUGUCCACCACAAGCUGAGGUUGUGCCCAAGUAUAGUCAAAAACUGAGCACUUUAGGUGGGGACUUGGGUGGAGGCAACUUCAGGGGAAGAAGUUGCAGUAGUCACUAAGAAUGCAAAACUUUUGCUGCCCUUUCUUUGUUUGGAGACUCUCUGAGUGGGCAAAUUUUAGAGGGAGGGAGGGAGAGAGAGAGAGAGAGAGAGAGAGAGAGAGAGAGAGAGAGAGAGAGAGAGAGAGUGAGUAAUGGGGCUUUCCAAAUUGUGCAGGCGCAAGCUUGAUGUUCCAACUGAACACAGAGUGAAGAGCUGCAUUUAAUAUUUAAUGUUCUCACUCAUUCUGAGAAUAGAAGUGAUAAGAAGUAGGAUACACUUCAUGGAAUUCUCUCAUACACCCAUGGGACCUUCAAGUGUAUAAACAGUCACAAAGAUUUUCAAAGUAAAAUUCAUACAGCUUAUAGGGACACAUUUGCAUAGCCUAAAAUACAUAUUACACUUGAUAUCUGAGCUUUAGUCUAUUUUAAGAAUGCUGGUUUAAGUAGUACAGACACAAUUAAAUAUUAAUGCAAAUACCUAAAAUAUCGAUGGCUGAUUACAAUAAAUGUAUAUUUUUUCACUCACAUCAUAGUCUAAUAUGUGACACUUCUAACUAUGCCUCUUGGAAUGCUUAGUAUCCACUGUAGUGAUGGGGGAUAGCAUAGAGGAAAACACAUUGAUUUCCAAUUAACUCCAUCUGAAGUGACAUGGUGCAUAUUCUUCUCAUUCUGCAAGUGAGUCUGGGUAACGUAGGAGAACACCUGGGGUAUCUGAGGAACUCUAAUUGCCUUUGUCAUGGCCAAUAAAGGGAAUCAGAGUAUAAAACACAUUAACCCUUGUUGAGGUAUUUGUUAGAUGAUUACUCCAAGUCGAAACACCAGCUUUAUGUGGGUGUGUGUCAGCCUGCAGCUUUUGCAGCCAUAGGCAGGUUCUUAGAGCGUAGCUUGAUGCUUGAUUGCAUACAUUAAAUGGUUUUCAAGACCCUGCUCACAUUUAUCCCAGGCAUUCCCCAAGGAGUGCAUCAUAUUCUUACCCUUCACAACUGAAUUGCUUCAAGAAUAAACAAAAGACUUGGAGGUUUUAAGGCACCCUGGGAAGGGAGAAGUAAGUGAGGGAGCACCAGGACUUGAAAGAAAAGUUACACAGAAUCCGAAGAGAGGUACAGUCAGUCAGAUGGCAAUGAGGCCAGAGGGAGAACAGUGGCCAGUGUCACAUUCCCUGGAUCAGUACAAUGAAUAGCUAAAUGUCCAGGUUGAAUCAUAUCAGCCCUUCCUUUAUCUGUAAUCCUGUCCUUGAGUUUAAGCAAUGCCAAAAAGCCCAAUAUCUCAGAGAAAAAAAAUCUAGUCCAGCCUAGGGAAGGCUGGAACAGUCACACAGAUUCUUGGCCCACACUUUGCAGGGCAAGGCCACUAUUUGAUAACAUAUUCUAAAAUGAUUCAUCUCUCAGACCUUGUGUCCCAUUUUUUUCUCACUGUCACCAUGGAAAUCAUCUCUGUGGGAAAAUAGAAAAUAAAAAAGGACUUUUCUGUGCAUCAGGGGGAGCCCAUCGAAGCAGAUGACAGCACAGAUUUGAAAGUAGGUCCAGGCAGCAUAUUUUUAUAACUUUUGCCAACAACAUUCAACAGAGAAGACACAUUCUUUCUUAUCUAUUUCAAUUGUAUUAUAUUUGUACAAGUAAACCUGGAGGAACGUCUAAGAAGCUAAAUAAAUACUUAGAGCCAGGAAAGUCAAAAAGAAUGGGGCAGAUGAGCUGGGAAUGAGAAUUUUCUACCAUAGGCUCUAGCAUUUAUUAUAAACUAUGCGAAUGUGCUAUCCACUCAACACUUUGGAAUCACACAAAAAAGGAAAAUCUUUCAGUGAUCAUAGUUUGUUUUUGAGCUGUUUUAGGAGAAUGAAAA